GAUGAACGCUGGCGGCGUGCUUAACACAUGCGAGUCGAACGAUGAAGCCCAGCUUGCUGGGUGGAUUAGUGGCGAACGGGUGAGUAACACGUGAGUAACCUGCCCUUAACUCUGGGAUAAGCCUGGGAAACUGGGUCUAAUACCGGAUAGGAGCGUCCACCGCAUGGUGGGUGUUGGAAAGAUUUAUCGGUUUUGGAUGGACUCGCGGCCUAUCAGCUUGUUGGUGAGGUAAUGGCUUACCAAGGCGACGACGGGUAGCCGGCCGGGGAGGGUGACCGGCCACACUGGGACUGAGAAACGGCCCAGACUCCUACGGGAGACAGCAGUGGGGAAUAUUGCACAAUGGGCGCAAGCCUGAUGCAGCGACGCCGCGUGAGGGAUAACGGCCUUCGGGUUGUAAACCUCUUUCAGUAGGGAAGAAGCGAAAGUGACGGUACCUGCAGAAGAAGCACCGGCUAACUACGUG
rnacentral:rRNA from 1 species